GAUGAACGCUAGCUACAGGCUUAACACAUGCAAGUCGAGGGGUAGCAGGGUAGCAAUACCGCUGACGACCGGCGCACGGGUGAGUAACACGUAUCCAACCUUCCCAUAACUCGGGGAUAGCCUUUCGAAAGAAAGAUUAAUACCCGAUAGUACUUUUUCAAGGCAGCUUGAGAAAGUUAAAGAUUUGUUGGUUAUGGAUGGGGAUGCGUUCCAUUAGAUAGUUGGUGAGGUAACGGCUCGCCAAGUCUUCGAUGGAUAGGGGUUCUGAGAGGAAGGUCCCCCACAUUGGUACUGAGACACGGACCAAACUCCUACGGGAGGCAGCAGUGAGGAAUAUUGGUCAAUGGGCGAGAGCCUGAACCAGCCAAGUAGCGUGAAGGAUGAAGGUCCUAUGGAUUGUAAACUUCUUUUAUAGUAGAAUAAAGUGAUCCACGUGUGGAUUUUUGUAUGAAUACUAUGAAUAAGGAUCGGCUAACUCCGUGCCAGCAGCCGCAGUAA
rnacentral:rRNA from 1 species